UGGGUGACUUGCCUCGAUGACUGGGACAACCCGGGGAAACCCGAGCUAAUACCGGAUGUGCUCCUCUCACAUACGUGAGUUGAGGAAAGGAAGCUUCGGCCUCCGCAUCGAGAUGGGCCCGCGGCCCAUUAGCUUGUUGGUGAGGUAACGGCUCGCCAAGGCUUCUAUGGGUAGCUGGUCUGAGAGGACGAUCAGCCACACUGGGACUGAGACACGGCCCAGAUCCGUACGGGG
rnacentral:rRNA from 1 species